GGUUGUCGUCAGCUCGUGCCGUGAGGUGUCGGGUUAAGUACCCAUAACGAGCGCCAACCCUUACCGUUAGUUACCAUCAGGUUAAGCUGGGGACUCUAGCGGGACUGCCACCGUAAGGUGAGAGGAAGGUGGGGAUGACGUCAAAUCAGCACGGCCCUUAUGUCCAGGGCUACACACGUGUUACAAUGGCCGGUACAAAGGGCAGCUACUUCGCGAGAAGAUGCUAAUCUCGAAAGCCGGUCUCAGUUCGGAUCGAAGUCUGCAACCCGACUUCGUGAAGCUGGAUUCGCUAGUAAUCGCGCAUCAGCCAUGGCGCGGUGAAUACGUUCCCGGGCCUU
rnacentral:rRNA from 1 species